UUUUUAAUUUUUUUUUUUAUUUAUUUAUUUAUUGUCUAAGUAAAUUUAUGAACUUAAUUUAUUUAGUUAACUGACUAGGUUUACUAUAUUUAAUAUUAAAGUAUAAUUAAUUAGUACCUUUUGUAUCAUGGUAGGUUUAAUAAUAAGUUUAUACUUGUUUCCCGAAAAAUAAAUAUUUAUUUAAGGAUUUCUUUUUUUGUUGAAUAAAAACUGUUAAUUUUUAAAUGGUAGUGAAAUGUUAGUCGCUUUGUUUGAUAUCUGGUUAACUAGGAAAUCAAUUUAAUUGUGAACUAUAUUUUAGUUUUAUAUUAUUUUGGAUAAUCUAAAUUUUUUCUUAAAAUUUUUAUUUAAUAUAUAUUUAUUAAAUUUUAAAUCUUUUUUUUAGUUCUUAAUUGAUUAAUAUUUUUAUAUUCGAUUUUUUUUCUUUUAUGUUUUUACUUGUUAAAAUUAUUAAAUAAUUUUUUAAUUAAUAUAAUGAUUUAAUUAGUAAAAUUUUAAAUUAAUUUUUAAUGAACUCGACAUUUAUUAUUUCCAACUGUUUAUCAAAAACAUUUCCUUUAGUUUUCAAUUUAAGGUAAUUUCUGCCCUAUGAAUUUUAAAUGGCUGCAGUAUCCUGACUGUGCAAAGGUAGCAUAAUAAUUAGUCAUUUAAUUGUUGACUUGUAUGAAUGAAUACAUGAGAUAUUAGUUUUAUUAAUUUUAUUAUUUAAAUUUUAUUUUUAGGUAAAAAAGCUUAAUUGAUUUUUAGGGACGAUAAGACCCUAUAGAACUUAAUAAAUUUGUUAAAUUAAUUAGAUUGUAGAUAUUUAUUUUAUUUAUUUUAAAAAAAUUUUUUUGGUUGGGGUGACAGGUAAAUUUCUAGUACUUUACUUUUAUUCAUCAUUAUAUAUAUGUUUUUUUGAUCCAUUAUUUUAGAUAAAAAGAAAAAGUUACCUUAGGGAUAACAGCGUAAUUUUAGUGGGGAGUUCUUAUUUAUACUAAAGUUUGCGACCUCGAUGUUGAAUUAAGAUUAGUUUAGGGGGUAGGUUUUCUAAAACUAAGUCUGUUCGACUUUUAAAAUCUUACAUGAUUUGAGUUCAAACCGGUGUGAGCCAGGUUGGUUUCUAUCUUAAUACUAUUAAAUUUAUUUAGUACGAAAGGACCAGUAAAUUCAAUUUUUUUUGUAA
rnacentral:rRNA from 1 species